CCUUUAGGGUGUGGAGGAUGCAAGAGAAGAAGCAGCAUCUCCAGGGGCACCUCGGUUCUCCUUUUCCUAUCCCCAUAAUCGAUGAGAUAACCAUGGUAAAGCAGUUGUGCUCCCUUUAAGUACAGAGACGAGUGGUUAGGCUGCCAGGAAGAAGGAAAUGCAAAAGAUCAUAGGUGGUCACAAUCAACAUGGAGAUUGAAAGAUAAUUUUCCAAUUCACAACAAACUGCUCUCUAUGGCCACAUUCACACGUAAUGCCAAACCACGUUAAACAUGGCCGAGGUUGGAACUCCAGUAUGCACAGACGCACGAAACCAUGGUUGUGGGCCGAAAGCGAACUCCAGUUUGCCUUGCCACACUACAAAUUGAACCUUCGUUUAUCUCUAACGUUUGCUGCCAAGUCCUGAGGCUUUGUCACCGAAGUGUUACAUUCGCUUUCUGGUGCAGCUAUAACUGGUUUCGCACUGAUUUUCAGACCUCAGUCAUAGAGGCAGUGGCACUGACCCACCCGAGGACAUGGCUGCUCCAAGCCUUUGGCACUUCUCGCUGACAGCCUCUUGAAGAACCAGCCCUGCCCCUCUUGUCAGCUAUGCAUCUAUGGAGCUGCCAGGCUACAGGGGCGCCGCCAUGCCCCAUCCUGGACUUAUCAGCCUGUCAAGCUGCACAGUCACUCAGGGGAAUCCACUCUUCCCACUCUGUCUCUGACAGUAUUUACCAACAGGAAAUGGCUUGGCUCGAAAAGCAUAAAGCAAUUCAUUUAUUUGCUUUAAAUAAAGCUUAAAUGAUCAACAAACUUUGAAAAAGCAACAAACUCAUAACAAAAUGCCUGGUGUGAGGUAAGGAAUAUCAAAAAUAUUGUUUUGCUUCAGGACAUGUGAAACAUCACUAACAUGGAAAUAAACCCUUACGAGGGAAGUCAUUUAUUGCUAAUGGAAGUGGAUUUUUCAUUCCA